CAGGAAGUACCAGAUCAAUGUGGAGCUAUAUACAGGAAGUACCAGAUCAAUGUGACGCUAUAUACAGGAAGUACCAGAUCAAUGUGGCGCUAUAUACAGGAAGUCCCAGAUCAAUGUGGAGCUAUAUACAGGAAGUACCAGAUCAAUGUGGAGCUAUAUACAGGAAGUACCAGAUCAAUGUGACGCUAUAUACAGGAAGUACCAGAUCAAUGUGGCGCUAUAUACAGGAAGUACCAGAUCAAUGUGAAGCUAUAUACAGGAAGUACCAGAUCAAUGUGGCGCUAUAUACAGGAAGUACCAGAUCAAUGUGGAGCUAUAUACAGGAAGUACCAGAUCAAUGUGGAGCUAUAUACAGGAAGUACCAGAUCAAUGUGGAGCUAUAUACAGGAAGCACCAGAUCAAUUUGUUUUAGUUUAGUUUAGUUUAUUAAUUUGACCAUUUAAAAAAAAACAAGCACACGUAAAAUUUAAAAGCCGUACACGCACAUGAAUAAAAUCAUGGAGGAUAACACACCAUGAAGUCAGGGACUUAUUUCCAUUGUGGUCCUUUUGAGACAAGAUGGCUAGACAAGAUGGAACACAGUACGGCAGUGAAAUAAUAAAACUAAAACAUAGAAGAAGAACAUCUAUCUCAUCAUUCCAGUUACAUCACAGGGGUUAUUCAUGUGGGCACAGAGGACAUCAAACAUAUUUUAACUUUAUUUUUAAAUCUGUCCAGAGAGGAUGUUGUUUUUAUAGGGAGAGGCAACUCAUUCCUUUCUGAGGCUCCAGUAUACAAGACAGUACCUUUCCCAGCAUUACUCCUGAACCUGUAUAAGCACACAUCAGCAACACCUGAUCUGGUGCUGUGAUUGUGUGCAUCCAGUAACACGAGGAAAGUAAUCACUUAGAUAUCUGAGCGCAGGACCAUAAAUACUCCUGUAAACCAAACCUAGUCUAAUAUGGGAGCUAUAUACAGGAAGUACCAGAUCAAUGUGGACCUAUAUACAGGAAGUACGAGAUCAAUGUGGAGCUAUAUACAGGGAGUACCAUAUCAAUGUGGAGCUAUAUACAGGAAGUACCAGAUCAAUGUGGAGCUAUAUACAGGAAGUACCAGUACCAGAUCAAUGUGGAGCUAUAUACAGGGAGUACCAGAUCAAUGUGGAGCUAUAUACAGGAAGUACCAGAUCAAUGUGGAGCUAUAUACAGGGAGUACCAGAUCAAUGUGGAGCUAUAUACAGGAAGUACCAGUACCAGAUCAAUGUGGAUCUAUAUACAGGAAGUACCAGAUCAAUGUGGAGCUAUAUACAGGGAGAACCAGUACCAGAUCAAUGUGGAGCUAUAUACAGGAAGUACCAGAUCAAUGUGGAGCUAUAUACAGGAAGUACCAGAUCAAUGUGGAGCUAUAUACAGGAAGUACCAGUACCAGAUCACUGUGUAGGGGUAUGAGGUAUUUGAGGUAGAUAUGUACAUGAAGGCAGGGUAAAGCGACUAGACAUCGGGAUAGAUAAUAAUAAGGUAUUUGAAGUAGAUAUGUACGUGAAGGCAGGUUAAAGUGACUAGGCAUCAGGAUAGAUACAAGUUAUGAUGCAGCCAGUCAAGGUGCUCUCAGUGGUGCAGCUAUUGAACAUUUUGAGGAUCCGAGGACCAAUGACAAAUAUUUCCAGACUCCUGCGGGGAAAGAGGACCAUGUUAAGUCCUUAGUUAUGUGGACGCCAAGGAACUUGAAGCUCUUUCUACAACAGCCCCGUCGAUGUGGAUGGAGUCGUGCUCUUCUCUCUUUCUCCUGUAGUCCACGACCAGCUCCUUGGUCUUGCUGAUGUUGAUUAUAAACAGCAAGUAGCUGUUUACAGUGUACAAAAGGGAGGGGGUCAAUGUCAAUGUAAAUUGUCCGGUGCCGAUUUUAUUAAUUGUUCAGCAGUCUUAUGGUUUGGGGGUAGAAGCUGUUGAGGAGACUUUUGGUCCUAGACUUGGCACUCCGGUACUGCUUGCCAUGCGGGAGCAGAGAAAACAGUCUAUAACUUGGGUGACUGAAGUCUGACAAUUUUAUGGGCUUUCCUCUGACACCGCCUAUUACAUAGGUCCUGGAUGGCAGGAAGCUUUGCCCCAGUGAUGUACUGGGCCGUAUGCACUACCCUCUGUAGUACCUUGCGGUCGGAGGCCG
rnacentral:lncRNA from 1 species